rnacentral:rRNA from 1 species
GAAUUCACUAGUGAUUGAGUUUGAUCCUGGCUCAGGAUGAACGCUAGCGGCAGGCCUAACACAUGCAAGUCGAGGGGUAGAACACUUCGGUGUUUGAGACCGGCGCACAGGUGCGUAACGCGUAUGCAAUCUACCUUGUACAGGGGAAUAGCCCAGAGAAAUUUGGAUUAAUGCCCCAUAGUAUAUAACCUUCGCAUGUUGGUUAUAUUAAAGUUCCAACGGUACAAGAUAAGCAUGCGUCCCAUUAGUUAGUUGGUAAGGUAACGGCUUACCAAGACGAUGAUGGGUAGGGGUCCUGAGAGGGAGAUCCCCCACACUGGUACUGAGACACGGACCAGACUCCUACGGGAGGCAGCAGUGAGGAAUAUUGGUCAAUGGUCGCAAGACUGAACCAGCCAUGCCGCGUGCAGGAAGACGGUCCUAUGGAUUGUAAACUGCUUUUAUACAGGAAGAAACCCUCCCACGUGUGGGAGCUUGACGGUACUGUAGGAAUAAGGAUCGGCUAACUCCGUGCCAGCAGCCGCGGUAAUACGGAGGAUCCAAGCGUUAUCCGGAAUCAUUGGGUUUAAAAGGUCCGUAGGCGGUCUUAUAAGUCAGUGGUGAAAGCCCAUCG